rnacentral:rRNA from 1 species
CGGGUUGUAAAGCACUUUCAGUAGGGAGGAAGGUAGUGUAGUUAACACCUGCAUUACUUUGACGUUACCUACAGAAGAAGCACCGGCUAACUCCGUGCCAGCAGCCGCGGUAAUACGGAGGGUGCGAGCGUUAAUCGGAAUUACUGGGCGUAAAGCGCAUGCAGGCGGCCUGUUAAGUCAGAUGUGAAAGACCCGGGGCGUUAACCUCGGAAUUGCAUUUGUAAACUGGCAGGCUAGAGUCUUGUAGAGGGGGGUAGGAAUUUCAGGUGUAGCGGUGAAAUGCGUAGAGAUCUGAAGGAAUACCAGUGGCGAAGGCGGCCCCCUCGGACAAAGACUGACGCUCAGAUGCGAAAGCGUGGGGAGCAAACAGGAUUAGAUACCCCUGGUAG